CCAGAGGACCAGGGUUCAAUCCUAUCUGCCACAAGAGACUCACAGCUGUCUCUGAAUUCAGUCCCAGAUGCCCUCUUCUGGCUCCCACACAGGCAUUGAAUGCAUGUGGUAGAUAAACAUGCAGACAAAACACAUAUACACAUAAAUUAAAUUUAAAAGCAAUAAAUAAGUAAAUAAUAAGGAAGAACUGGGAAUAUUGUCCAGUGGACUAGUCCAUAGGUCCUAGGUUUACUACCCAAGAAAAAAGACAGAUACACAGGUGGAAAGAAAGAGGGAGAAUCAGAGUCUCAUAAAGUUGUGCUUCUCUUUCCUUUAUACAAGGCCACAUCAAAAACUGAUGCCUAUGACAACCAACCUACACAUACAUGGUCAUUGUUUACACGUCACCCAUGAGCAACCCAGACUGACCAAGAUAGUUGUAAAAAAAAAAGUGCAGAAAGUGAGUCUAUAAAUGCCAAAAGAAAGGCCAAUAAGAUGUGUAAUUUAUAUUGAGACUGCAUUACUGCCCCAAGGACCGCAAUAACCAGACAAAAGUCUUUGUGUUGUAUCAGACAAUGAUCAUCUGACAUCUAUCAGCAUUCUCCAAGUUGCCUCUUCCCCUCGGAGUUAUGUAAUAUUCUAAUCAAUAAUUAAUAGCGAGUUAAAUAAAGGACAGGGCAGAAAAUCAAAUGACUUCAAAGCCGUUAGUCAGAGCUGCACCUGGGUAGACACAGGAAGACCUGUGCACCUUUGGCUUCAUUAAAAUCUUGGACAGUUUUCUCAACAGAAGUAUGUAAGCAUGUGCUCAUGUCUGUGACAUUUAGGAGGUUAUGAAUAUUUAAGAAAUAGGAACUGAAAGUCCUUCUGCUUGCUAAUGGAGGCGACACCCACAUCACCAGAGGCUUUUAGAGACAAUCAUCGGGCCUGCCAGCCCAGCAGGAUGCAAUCUGCAAUUACUUUGCUGCAGAUUUGGAAACAGAAUUGAUUUUACCUUAUGUAAUCCUACUGACCCAAGAACUCUAGAAAGCCAUUUUGGAGUGAGUCAACAGAUUUGGGGUCUAUAGAGGAAAUAACUUUGAAGCCCAGAAGUUCAAGUCCUUAGAAUCAUUCUGAAUACCGCUGUGUAUUUUUGUUCUAGUGUGCUUUGGCUAGACCAAGAAGGCUGGUCUCACAAAAAUGCACAAGACAUAUGGCACAGAGCCUCCAAAGGAUCCAUUUGUACUUCUGUCAAAGAAAAACAUCUAUAUCUAUGUAAUCAGUGUUUUCCUACUACAUAUAAGUUUGUAGUCAAGACAAAAUACUGACUUUAAAAUCCCAAAUAAAGGGAACAAUGGGUGUUUUUAUGGGCAUAAGUUGGCAUUUAGAAUAUCUAGAUCACAAUUUCUUCAUUCUGUGGGAGAGCGGAUGUUACCAUGGUGUCACCCAUGAUAGCAUAUCUCAAGCUUGCCAGUGAAUGAAUUCAUACUCUUUUCACUAUUUUUUUUUUACCAAUUAUGGAUUGUAUAUGGUUUAGUUGUGUGACCAGGACCUUACAAGCACUAUGGCCAACCCACCCAGUACUAUGACAUGUUCAGAGAGUGUCCCUGCCAUAUACUUAGAUAUCACUAAAUAGCGGACUGCUUUAAAGGUUUCUAACACUUUCUGAUUCUGUGUUUACCUCAAUGUUAGCCUGUCACAACAGGUCAAGGAAAGUGUCAGUUGUUAGGCAGUAGAUCUAGAAAGUCUGUAAACCUGUCCAUUCCAGGAAGACUUAGAAAUAGAAGGGGAACACAAAACAAGAAGCUAUGAAACAACACAAUCUCUUUCCUUAGCUUCACUCUAGUCCACACUAGGGAUUUCAAAAUAUCCAGGCUCAUAUGAAGAGUUCAAGGGCAUAAGACCAGGGCCCACUAACUGAGUUUCACUCAGAGGAACCUGCAGAACUGUGGACAUGCUGAAACCAUAGUUAGCAUGUACAAGAAGAAUGGAAUGGAGGUAAUGAGUUAAACACACCUGAGCUCAUGUUCUUGGUUCCAUCUCUCUAUGUAUAGCCAAUAAGGCAUCCAGACUUGCUCAUCCAGCCAUCCUGGAAUAUGCUAUGGGAGGCCAGAGAGGCUUCAAUGUUAGGACAAAGGGAUAGCCUUGGUGGGGACUUAGAAACAAGUAUAAAUAGUGCACUUCUCCUGAAAGGUCAGAUGAACCAGAUACAUCCAGCAGUCACCCUACCAGGGAUCAGAAGGCAGCACAGAUCCAGAAUACUCUGUAUGGAUCUCAAAAUGCUCAUCACCACAUCACAAGGACAUAAUGACCCUCCGUACACCCACAUCUGCUGGAAGCACUAAGGAAGAAGCUAGAACUCAGGAAUCAAGGGAAACAUGGAGGAAUGAUGGAUUUCCCCAAACAGAGUUAAAAAAACUAAUUUGGAAGAAAAGAAAAUUCAGCAUGAGCCAAAAAGUGUAUGGAGGUGCUGAAAGGCACCCUUCCUUCCUGCCCAGCCAUGGUCUCACUUGGAGUAGAAGUCUCCAGAAACAACCAGUCCUCUGUCCUUCUGUUCCAGCCUCCUACAGCUCUGCUCUCUGAGAAGUCAUGCUGACUCAUUGGCUCAAGCUGUGAUGCUCAGCUGUCUGUCCAUCUUGUCUCCUGGAACAGCUCAAUCCAGGGUCUUCCUGAAGUGGUGAUCACUCCAGCUGGCAGGGGUAGAAAAUGGUACCAGUCAGGUCAGAGCUCUGGGAUCCCACAGUCACUGCUGCAGGAUGGAGGAACCUACUCCUGAGCCUGUCUAUGUGGAUGUGGACAAGGGGCUGACCUUGGCUUGCUUCGUUUUCCUCUGCCUCUUCCUCGUAGUCAUGAUCAUCCGCUGUGCCAAAGUCAUCAUGGACCCCUACAGUGCCAUCCCCACGUCAACCUGGGAGGAGCAGCACCUGGAUGACUGAGGCACAGGACAGGUCUCAGUAUCCCCAACAUGCCUUUGUACACUCUGGCCAACAUCCUGCGAGCACUUGGAGACUGGGAGUGGCUAUGAUCACCCAAAACUGGAGAAGGCUCACCUUUGCCUUACUGGCUCUCACAUGACCACCAGAGGGGAAUGCCAUCGUGCAGGAGCCAAGGCAGUCUGGAGGAUCCUGGGGAGAGGAAUGCUGAGCCAUGACUCAGUCGAGUGGAGAUGAUGUUGGGACUCCACUGGGAGACAGCAGGGUGAUAGUUCCCUGCCCAGGCUCCUGGGCACCUUUGAAAACUGAACCAAAACCAGAUACUCUGGUCUACAAAUAGUGGUCAGGAGGAGACUGACCUUCAACUACACAGCAUGGAGAGGUUGCUGAGAGCCCAGUACCCUCUACAGACUAACAGUGAGGGGCAGGAAGGAUGAAGACUUCAGGGGGCUUCUCCUCCAAAUUCUCACAAGGCACACAGCUACUUUCAAACUUUUAUUUUCAAAAGAAAAAAACUCCAUAAAAACACAAACUAAGAUACAGAAGGGAUAUAUUUUUCCUGUUAAAAAUGAGAUGUGCAUUUUAGACACUUGGGAAAAUAUAAAUAAAUAGAAGGGAAGGGAGGCGAAUAGCACUUAAAAAUCCAACCUCCCCAAAGCCAUCAUUUUGAUACAUUUCUUCAAGUCUUUUUUACAGGAUUUUUUUUAGUAAUUCACACCAUAUGCAUGAUGCUGCAUUGAUUUGUAUGAUAGCUUAAAUAUCUUCUGCCUCACAAGAUACCAUGGCUGUUUUUAGUGACUGAGAGUAAACUGGCUAGGCCAUGGCUGAAUAUAGUCCUUUUCUUUAAUCUGUCUAACUUUCUACAAUGUACUCAUGCAAA
rnacentral:sRNA from 1 species